rnacentral:rRNA from 1 species
UUCCAGACUCCUACGGGAGGCAGCAGUGAGGAAUAUUGGUCAAUGGGCGGGAGCCUGAACCAGCCAAGUCGCGUGAGGGAAGACGGUCCUACGGGUUGUAAACCUCUUUUGUCAGGGAGCAACGCCGGCUACGUGUAGCCGGACUGAGAGUACCUGAAGAAAAAGCAUCGGCUAACUCCGUGCCAGCAGCCGCGGUAAUACGGAGGAUGCGAGCGUUAUCCGGAUUUAUUGGGUUUAAAGGGUGCGUAGGCGGAAUGCCAAGUCAGCGGUAAAAUCGCGGGGCUCAACCUCGCUCCGCCGUUGAAACUGGCAGUCUCGAGUUGGAGAGAAGUAUGCGGAAUGCGCGGUGUAGCGGUGAAAUGCAUAGAUAUCGCGCAGAACUCCGAUUGCGAAGGCGGCAUGCCGGCUCCACACUGACGCUGAGGCACGAAAGCGUGGGUAUCGAACAGGAUUAGAUACCCUAGUA